CGGCAGCACUGUGCAGGAUAGUUCUAUGUGGCACGGCGGAUAGGAAACAUAUAGAAAAAAAGGGUUUGUAAGGCCACAUGUGGGAAGGCCGUCUGAAGUUUCAGGUAAACAAAAAUCUAAACGCCAAACAAUUUAAGAGAACACAAUCAUAUUUACAUCAAGAUCCAUUAGGUUUGCCAUUGAGUCCGAUAAGAAUGUUUAGAUCCAAAUUAUGAAUAUCGUCAUGAAGCAAGAACA